rnacentral:hammerhead_ribozyme from 1 species
AUCCAGAUAAUGAGUCCCAAAUAGGACGAAAUGCGCAUCCUAGAU